CAUAAAACCUAAGAGAGAAGAAGAGAGAGCAGUUGCAGAGAAUCCAAGAAGGUAGGGUUUCGCGGCGUGUCUCGGUGCGAUGGUGAAGGUCUAAGGGAGGGGAAGAGAAGACGACAUGGCGGGAGAGAAUAGGAAGAUGAGUACUAAAUGUAAGGUGGGGGACCAUGGGAAGAACAAGAAGCCAGUGCAAGAUGCAAGGGACCACUCGAUUCCUUUGCCCUCGAAAGAGAACGUGGUCCCCAAGAGAAGCAACAACAAUCUCUUUUUGGUUUUGUGGGGAUGCAUUGCCUCCUAAUAUUUUUGCAAGGUAGCUUUCCCAACAUUUUUAUUCCCACUUUAUGUCUUUGAUGUUGAAUUAGUGGUUGGUGAACAUUUUCAAUGUUGUGUGGUGUUUGUCUUUUAUGAUGUGUGUAUUUUGGCCUCGAAAGUUAUUAAACUGUAGGUUGAAAAUUGCUAUUUUAAUGGCUUGGUCCAUGUGAUUAGUCUAUUUUUUUAUGCUGUUGUCUGUGGGCAUACUUUGGCCCAUGUGAUAGACAUUACUCUGCACUAUGGAGGCAAAAUGACAAGUGACCCAACUUUCCCAUAUGUUAAUGGCACAAAGGUUGUGUAUAAGCGGUUUGAUGUGGACAAAUUAUCUCCAAUUAAAUUGGGAAAAUUGGUAAAUACUGAAGGUGUUAUCAGCUUUAAAGGGUUGUGGUAUAGGUAUUUCAACAAGGAUAGGUCUGGAAUGUUAAGUCCUUUGAAUAGUAAUGCACAUGUGAUGCUGCCCAGUGAAGAUAUUAAAGGUAAGGCUGUGGUGGAUGUCUAUGUUGAGCAUCUACUAGAUGUGGAGGGGAGUGGGGAUCUUGAUGAUUGUAUGGAAGUGACUUCUGAGUAUGUGAGGAGGGUUGAGAAGUAAGUGCCUGAGUUUGUGAGUGAAGGGGUUGAAACUAUGAAUGAGGGAGUGCAAUCUUAGGAGGUUGUCGUUGAAGUUGUGAGGUUGUGGUUGAAUCUGUGAAUGAGGGGGUGCAAUCUCAGGAGGUUGGGACUGAAAAUGUGAGGUCUGGGGUUGAAACUAUGGAGGAGGUUGUUGAUGGAUAUGUGGUGGUUGAUAAAGUCAAAGGUAAGGCUGUGGUUGAUAAAGGCAAGGGUAAAGUUGUGGUUGAUAAAGGCAAAGGAAAGGCUGUUGAGGUUGAGGGUGAAGACUUGGUCAACUUUCUUCAUGCAGACAUAGAGUCUGAUGCUGAAUCAUAUGAACUAGAAGGUGAUGAAAGUAGUGAUGUGUCACUAGAUGAUAGUUACUAUGAUGUGGAUUGGGAGUGGACUCAAGUGUUACUUGCUGAGUCUUUGGUUGAUGUAGGUGUGCCAACUCCAGAUCCUGCAUUCCCCAACUUUGAGGCUGGUGAGGCUUUAAAUCCUGCUGCUGCAUUGAAUACCGGUGAGCCUUCAAAUCCAGCUGCCUUUUCUGACUUUGAAGAUGAAGAUGGUGAUUCUUCUGACUUAGACACACCAUCUGAAGGUGAAGAUGAAGAUGAAGAAUUGGUGACCGGAACCAAAUUUUGACAGUUUAAACCAUCACACGAAUGAAGUGUUCAUUUUGAGUGUGGUUUGACUUUCAACAACAAUGAUUUAUUCAGGAGGCAGUCUGCUUUGGAGAACAAGAAGGAUCUGAAUUUCAAAAAAAAAUGUCAAGAAAAGGGUGGUUGUCGUUUGUAAACUUGAUUGUCCAUUCUACCUAAGGGUCAGCAAGACUCCUACAAGGCCUGUGUGGCAAGUAGUUAGAUUUUAUCCAUGUCAUACAUGUUGCAGAACAGCUACUAACAGGCAAGCUAAGUCUGAGUUUCUUGCUAAGAAGUUCAUGCCAAUUUUGAGGCAUACACCAAACAUCAAAGUUUUUGGCCUCAUUGAAGAAGCAAGUGUGAGGUGGAGAAUUGUUUUGGGAAGAUUCAAGGCUUACAAGAGCAAGGUCAAAGCUCUAGAUAUGAUUCAUGGUGCUAGUCUGCAGCAAUAUUUUCACUUGAGAAAUUAUGCUGAAGAACUGUUGAGAAGCAAUCCAGGAAGCACAAUGAUAAUCAAAAGCACACUUGGAGAGCAUGACCCUGUGUUUGAAAAAAUAUGUGUGUUUCAAUGCCAUCAAAACAGCUUUUGCUAGGACAUGCAGACCCUUGAUUAAAUUGGAUGGCUGCUUCCUCAAAGGGGUAUAUGGAGGUCAACUAUUAUCUGCUGUGGGCAAAGAUGGAAACAAUCAGAUGUUUCCAAUUGCAUAUGAUGUGGUGGAAGCUGAGACCAAAGAUUCAUGAGAAUGGUUUAUGGACUUACUGUUGAAGGAUCUCAAUGGUGUGCAGAAGAAGAGAUGAUCCUUUAUCUCUGACCAGCAAAAGGGAUUGGUUCCAACUCUUGCAAACAUGGAUGAAAAUAUUGAACAUAGGCUUUGUGUCAAACACUUGUAUGCCAACUUCAGAAAGAAGUAUCUUGAAGAUUUACUGAAGAAUGCUACGUGGACUGCAGCAAGGGCAAACACACAUAAUGAGUGGAAGGUUGCAAUGGAGGCCAUGAAAGCAUUGAGUGAGUCUGCCUUUCAUGAAAUGAUGAACCUUCCUCCAAAGAUGUGGACUAGAUCAGCAUACAGUACACACACCAAAUGUGACUGCAAGUGAAUACUAUGUGUGAAGCAUUCAAUAGGUUAUCUUGGAACAUAGGGACAAACCUAUAAUAACACUGUUAGAAGGAUUGAAGUUGUACCUCACCACAAGAAUAGUGAAACAGAGACAGUUAAUGGUUAAUGUUAAGAUGGAGGACUUGACAGAUUUUUCCAAUGAUUCAACAGAAGUUAGAGCAAAUGAAGAAGCAAUCUAACUACUAGCAAGCUACAUGGAAUGAGGAUAUUUAUUAUGCACUGUUUGAAGUUAGCAGAAACACUAACAAGUAUCCUGUGGAUCUCAGGGUAAGAACAUGUUCAUGUAGGAGGUGAGACCUUUCAGGAAUACCAUGUGAAUACUCAGUGGCAUGCAUGUGGCAUAAUCACCAUGUUCUUGAAAACUAUGUUGAUGUUGCCUACAAGUUAACUGUUUGACCCCGUGGAAGACGUCAGGCCGGGAACAAGCAACCGCUCCCCAUGCGAAUGAAAGUCCAAUAAAGAGGUCAUGGGGCCUAUGGGUUAUUGCAACCAUAGGAAGUAGCAUGCGGUGCGAAGACGUGGCUCCAAACCCCGAUAUGUCGAAGAAGCGAAAUAUACGAGAUCAUAAACACAGAAGUUCAGAAUCAACAAGGGUUCGUAGAACGAAGGGAGUGUACAACUGGGGCUUCCAUUUAAGGAGAACACUUUCUUAGACACAUACUCACACAUUAUACUGCCAAACAAUUGUCCUAAACUGUGGUCUAAAGCUGAUGCCCUCCCACUGAAUCCACCAUAUGUGAGGAGAGCCCCUGCAGACCAAAAAGAUUAGAAAUAAGAAGAAUUAUGAGUCAAGGAACCCAAACAGAUUGAGGAGGCAUCACACAUCUGUCAAAUGCAGAAGAUGUGGAGAGUAUGGGCACAAUAUGAGAACUUGCACGAGAAAUACAACAACAGAUAAGACAAUUCCAAUUGGAGAGAAUUAUUGGAUCAAGCGCUUACCACUACGCCAAAAGCAAUUGCUGUUAGUGAGGGCGCAACUUUAUUUCCUUAUAGCACAGAGUCCUCAAGGGGCUGCGAUGUUAAGCGCCAUGGGGUGGGAUGUUAAGCCCAUCGAAUCCUAAGGGUGACGCUGGAUUAAUAAAUCCAACAAUCUCCCCCCCAGUGUUAGCCGGGGGAUUCGAACCCAUGACCUUGCUCUGAUACCACUUAUUGGAUCAAGCGCUUACCACUACGCCAAAAGCAAUUGCUGUUAGUGAGGGCGCAACUUUAUUUCCUUAUAGCACAGAGUCCUCAAGGGGCUGCGAUGUUAAGCGCCAUGGGGUGGGAUGUUAAGCCCAUCGAAUCCUAAGGGUGACGCUGGAUUAAUAAAUC